GUGCUUGCUUCAGCAGCAUAUAUACUAAAAUGGAAUGAUACAGAGAUUAGCAUGGCUCCUGAGCAUGGAUGACAUGCAAAUUUGUGAAGCGUUCCAUAUUUUG